rnacentral:lncRNA from 1 species
GGACUCUGUAAGGAUAUUUUUCUUAAGCGUAUAGAAUUAUUCUGAUGUUUGUGAAACAAACAGUAAACAUUUUGUUGUUUUCAGAGAAUAUUAUCAAGAAAAAAAUACUGAAAAAUAACAAAACAUAAAAGUUAUAAGCCAAUUUGCAUUGCUAGAAGGUGGCUUCUUGAAUUUAUACUACUGAUAUAUCCAUAAUAUAAUCCCAAAUUUUGAUGUGAAGAUAAAUCCUUGGCUGGUAAAGUCUUAGUUUACAUUGUUGUUUGCCAACAGACCUGUAUGAAGGACAAAGGAGCUGAAGUCAUAGUUAGCCCUCUCGCUUCUUCUUUCUCCCUUCUGUGGAGCUUUGAACACUAAUUUCUCAGGGUUGAUCUACAUCUUUGUUGAUGUUGGAACACAUAACCUCAAGAAUCAAACCCAAGAUCCAAGACCUUCAAAAAUUGGGAAUCCACAGAGGAGAUAAUCUCUUUGUUUUACACUGUAAGACAGAAAGCCUCAAGUGGUUGAGUGGCUGCCCGUCAUUCUACUGCAUUCUUGGUAGGAAGAAGUUGGAUAAAAAUCAAAACUAUGGCACAAAUCAAGUCUGGAAGCAGAUCAGGUAAAAAGGAAGUGGGGGUAUUAAAUGGGGGUACUAGGGUUGAUGUGGAGAAUUUAGAGAUCG